rnacentral:rRNA from 1 species
UCAGCGGCGCAAGGGUGAGUAAUGCUUAGAUUACCUACCAUAAUGUUUGGGAUAACAUACCUAACGGUGUGCUAAUACCGGAUGUGGCUAUUUAUAGCUAAAGGGGGGUUUACCUUCCGCAUUAUGAGGGGUUUAAGUCCCAUUAGCUAGUAGGUAGAGUAAGAGUUACCUAGGCGAUGAUGGGUAGCCGGGCUGAGAGGCUGAUCGGCCACACUGGGACUGAGACACUGCCCAGACUCUUACGGGAGGCUGCAGUCGAGAAUCUUCGGCAAUGGGCGGAAGCCUGACCGAGCGAUGCUGCGUGGAUGAUGAAGGUCUUCGGAUUGUAAAAUCCUGUUAGAAGCUAGGAAUUAUUUGAACGCUAAUAUCGUUUAGAUUUGACAUAAACUUCAUAGAAAGCCACGGCUAAAUUCGUGCCAGCAGCCGCGGUAAUACGAAUGUGGCGAACGUUAUUCGGAAUUACUGGGCGUAAAGGGCGUGUAGGCUGCGUAUUAAGUCUGAUGUGAAAUUCCUCAGCUCAACUGAGGGCUUGCGUUGGAAACUGAUAUGCUAGAGUGCGAUAGGGGGAAGUGGAACUCCAUGUGGAGCGGUGAAAUGCGUAGAUAUGUGGAGGAACGCCGGUGGCGAAAGCGGCUUCCUGGAUCGCAACCGACGCUGAGGCGCGAAAGCCAGGGUAGCGAACGGGAUUAGAUACCCCGGUAGUCCUGGCUGUAAACGAUGGGUACUAGGUAGUAGAGGAGUCAGUGCUUUUACUGCCGCAGCCAACGCGUUAAGUACCCCGCCUGGGGAGUACGACCGCAAGGUUGAAACUCAAAGGAAUUGACGGGGGCUCACACAAGCGGUGGAGCAUGUGGUUUAAUUCGAAGCAACGCGAAGAACCUUACCAGGAUUUGACAUAUAGGUGGUACUGAUAAGAAAUUUGAAGGACUUGAGCAAUCGAGAGCCUAUACAGGUGUUGCAUGGCUGUCGUCAGCUCGUGCCGUGAGGUGUAGAGUUAAGUCUCGUAACGAGCGAAACCCUUGCCACUAGUUACCAGCACAUGAUGGUGGGGACUCUAGUGGGACUGCCGCGUAAAAGUAGGAGGAAGGUGGGGAUGACGUCAAGUCAUCAUGGCCCUUAUGUCCUGGGCUACACACGUGCUACAAUGGGUGCUACAGAGGGAAGCGAGUCAGAGAUGCGGAGCAAAUCUCCGAAAGGCAUCCUUAGUUCGGAUUGAAGGCUGCAAUUCGCCUUCAUGAAGCUGGAAUCGCUAGUAAUCGCGGGUCAUCAAUACCGCGGUGAAUAUGUUCCUGAGCCUUGUACACACCGCCCGUCAAGCCACGGGAGCUUGGAGCACUCGAAGUCGUUGACCCAACCUUAAG